GACGAACGCUGGCGGCGUGCCUAAUACAUGCAAGUAGAACGAGUUGCGAACGGGUGAGUAAUGUCUGGGAAACUGCCCGAUGGAGGGGGAUAACUACUGGAAACGGUAGCUAAUACCGCAUACCAUCGGAUGUGCCCAGAUGGGAUUAGCUAGAAGGGGGGGUAACGGCGCACCUAGGCGACGAGCCCUAGCUGGUCUGAGAGGAUGACCAGCCACACUGGGACGGAGACACGGCCCAGACUCCUACGGGAGGCAGCAGUGGGGAAUAUUGCACAAUGGGCGCAAGCCUGAUGCAGCCAUGCCGCGUGUAUGAAGAAGGCCUUCGGGUUGUAAAGUACUUUCAGCGGGGAGGCGUUACUCGCAGAAGAAGCACCGGCUAACUCCGUGCCAGCAGCCGCGGUAAUAC
rnacentral:rRNA from 1 species